CCUACGGGAGGCUGCAGUGGGGGAUAUUGCACAAUGGGGGAAACCCUGAUGCAGCGACGCCGCGUGUGGGAAGACGGUCCUCUGGAUUGUAAACCACUGUCCCCAGGGACGAAGAUGACGGUACCGGGGGAGGAAGCGCCGGCGAACUAUGUGCCAGCAGCCGCGGUAAUACGGCGGGAGCGAGCGUGGUCCGGAAUUACUGGGUGUAAAGGGAGCGUAGGAGGGGAUGCAAGGUGGGUGUCAAAACUACCGGCUCAACUGGUAGUCGCACUCAAAACUGCAGCUCUUGAGUGAAGUAGAGGCAGGCGGAAUUCCUAGUGUAGCGGUGAACUGCGUAGAUAUUAGGAGGAACCCCAGUGGCGACGGCGGCCUGCUGGGCUUUUCCUGCCGCUGAGGCUCGACAGUGUGGGGAGUAAACAGGAUUAGCUACCCCAGUAGUC
rnacentral:rRNA from 1 species